UACGGAGGGUGCGAGCGUUAAUCGGAAUUACUGGGCGUAAAGCGCAUGCAGGUGGUUUGUUAAGUCAGAUGUGAAAGCCCGGGGCUCAACCUCGGAAUAGCAUUUGAAACUGGCAGACUAGAGUACUGUAGAGGGGGGUAGAAUUUCAGGUGUAGCGGUGAAAUGCGUAGAGAUCUGAAGGAAUACCGGUGGCGAAGGCGGCCCCCUGGACAGAUACUGACACUCAGAUGCGAAAGCGUGGGGAGCAAACAGGAUUAGAUACCCCGGUAGU
rnacentral:rRNA from 1 species